CCUACGGGAGGCAGCAGUGAGGAAUAUUGGUCAAUGGACGAGAGUCUGAACCAGCCAAGUAGCGUGAAGGAUGACUGCCCUAUGGGUUGUAAACUUCUUUUAUAUGGGAAUAAAAUGUUCCACGUGUGGGAUUUUGUAUGUACCAUAUGAAUAAGGAUCGGCUAACUCCGUGCCAGCAGCCGCGGUAAUACGGAGGAUCCGAGCGUUAUCCGGAUUUAUUGGGUUUAAAGGGAGCGUAGGUGGAUUGUUAAGUAAGUUGUGAAAUUUUGCGGCUCAACCGUAAAAUUGCAGUUGAAACUGGCAGUCUUGAGUACAGUAGAGGUGGGCGGAAGUCGUGGUGUAGCGGUGAAAUGCUUAGAUAUCACGAAGAACUCCGAUUGCGAAGGCAGCUCACUGGACUGCAACUGACACUGAGGCUCGAAAGUGUGGGUAUCAAACAGGAUUAGAUACCCUUGUAGUC
rnacentral:rRNA from 1 species